CAGUCGCCGCGGUAAUACGAGGGGUGCAAGCGUUAUUCGGAUUGAUUGGGUGUAAAGGGUGUGCAGACGGCUUAUUAAGUCACUUGUUAAAUUCUUCGGCCUAACUGAAGGUCUGCAAGUGAUACUGAAGAGCUAGAGGGUGGAAGAGAGAAGUGGAAUUCUCGGAGUAGCGGUAAAAUGCGUAGAUCUCGAGAGGAACACCAAUGGCGAAGGCAGCUUCUUGGUCCAUUCCUGACGUUCAUACACGAAAGCGUGGGGAGCAAACAGGAUUAGAUACCCCCGUAGUCCCUGUCUCUUAUAC
rnacentral:rRNA from 1 species